AUUGAACGCUGGCGGCAGGCCUAACACAUGCAAGUCGAGCGGACGAACGGAGCUUGCUCCUGUAUUCAGUGGCGGACGGGCGAGUAAUGCCUACGAAUCUGCCUGGUAGUGGGGGAUAACGUCCGGACACGGGCGCUAAUAUCGCAUACGUCCUGAUGUAGAAAGUGGUGGAUCUUCAGACCACACGCUAUCAGAUGAGCCUAGGUCGCAUUAGCUAGUUGGUGGGGUAAAGGCCUACCAAGGCGACGAUCCGUAACAGGUCUGAGAGGGUGAUCGGUCACACUGGAACUGAGACACGGUCCAGACUCCUACGGGAGGCAGCAGUGGGGAAUAUUGGACAAUGGGCGAAAGCCUGAUGCAGCCAUGCCGCGUGAGUGAAGAAGGUCUUCGGAUUGUAAAGCACUUUAAGUUGGGAGGAAGGGCAGUAAGUUUAUACCUGGCUGUUUUGACGUUACCAACAGAGUAAGCACCGGCUAACUUCGUG
rnacentral:rRNA from 1 species